rnacentral:ncRNA from 1 species
AAGAAAUUUAAUUCUGUUUUAUAAAAUUAGCUUUUUAAUUAUUUGUACAUGUAAUAUUUUAUUAAAAAGUUGAGCUUUGCAGUAUUUAGUAUUAAAAUUUUAAUUUAGGUUAGAUUUAGUAAAUUAAUCGAACUCUAACUAAUUUUGUGCCAGCAGUUGCGGUUAUACAAUUAGGGUGGGUUAAUUUUUUUUGAGUUAUAUUUAAGUUUGUUUUUAAUUUUUAAAAUUAAAAUUUUUAGGUGGAAUUAAUUUUUUUAAUCAUUAAUUUUAUUUGAUUGAAUAUGAAGAUUUUUAUUAAAACUAGGAUUAGAUACCCUAUUAUUAUAAGUUGUUAAUUUUACUCUUAACACUAUUAGUUAUGUUCUUUAAAUUAAAAGAAUUUGGCGGUAAUUUAGUCUUUUCAGAGGAACCUGUCCUAUAAUUGAUAUUCCACGAUAAAUUUUACCUUUUUAUGCUUAUAUAUCUCUGUUAUUGGAUUUCUUAGUAGAGAUCUUCUAUAAUUUAUAGGUAAAUUUAAAUCAGGUCAAGGUGUAGUUAUAUAAAGGAAAGAGAUGGGUUACAAUAUAAUAUAUAUUUGAAUAUAAAUAUGGAAUAUUUUAUUGAAAUUGGAUUUGAUAGUAAUUUUUAUUAUAUUAUAAUUUUGAUUUUAGCUCUAAAUUAUGUACAUAUCGCCCGUCACUCUCGUUAUUAAAAUGAGAUAAGUCGUAACAAAGUAAAUCAACCGGAAGGUUGAUUUGGAAUGAA